AUGAAUUGUUGCCUCUAAGCAGCUCCGUGGAAACUCUUGGAACUACAUUACAGCAUGGUUCAACAAUCAACUGGAAAGUUCAGAAAGCUCCAAAGGGAUUGGUAGAUUUGCCUCUGCGGGAAUGCCAAGAUACGAACGAUUCAGCGAUUGCGACAUCGAUCGGGCAAACAAGCCAACACAAUUGAAAAGCUGCGUACAUACACAUGUCUUGUGGUUAACAGGAAAUGAUUCCAAUAAAUAAACAAAAAGAAUAAAUCUUAAUUUAAUUCAAUUUAAUCUGUUUACGGUAUUUUAGAUGUGAAAAUGAUCAAAAUAAACAAAAAGAGUAAAAACUCAA